AUUGAACGCUGGCGGCAGGCCUAACACAUGCAAGUCGAACGAGUGGCGGACGGGUGAGUAAUGUCUGGGAAACUGCCUGAUGGAGGGGGAUAACUACUGGAAACGGUAGCUGAUAACGCAUACCAUCGGAUGUGCCCGUAUGGGAUUAGCUAGGAGGUGGGGUAAAUGCUCACCUGGGCGACGAUCCCUAGCUGGUCUGAGAGGAGGACCAGCCCCACGGGAGCUGAGCCACGGUCCAUGCUCCUACGGUAGGCAGCAGUGGGGAAUAGUGCGCAAUGGGCGCAAUUCUGAUGCAGUCAUGCCGCGCGUAUGGAGAAGGCCCUCGGGUUGUAAAGUCCUUUCAGCGGGUAUGCGUUACCCGCAGAAGAAGCACCGGCUAACUCCGUGCCAGCCGCCGCGGUAAUAC
rnacentral:rRNA from 1 species